rnacentral:rRNA from 1 species
GUGCCAGCAGCCGCGGUAAGACGAACCGAGCGAACGUUAUUCGGAAUCACUGGGCUUAAAGGGCGCGUAGGCGGGCCGUCAAGUCGAGGGUGAAAUCCCCCAGCUCAACUGGGGAAGUGCCUCCGAUACUGGCGGCCUCGAGGGGGAUAGGGGCAUGCGGAACUUCCGGUGGAGCGGUGAAAUGCGUAGAUAUCGGAAGGAACACCGGUGGCGAAAGCGGCGUGCUGGAUCCCUUCUGACGCUGAGGCGCGAAAGCCAGGGGAGCGAACGGGAUUAGAUACCCCUGUAGUCC